CAUUUCACCUGUUUCAGUUGAGCAAGCAGAAACAGCUGCUGUGGAUGAAGCAAGCUCCAGACCUCUUGCUUGCUUUGUGGAGCAACAUAAGACCAAACCACAACCCAAGGAGAAUAAAAAGCCCACCAGAUCUAUUACUAUGUUUAUUUUAGAAGAAAUAUAGCAGCAAGAUAUUCUUUACAAGAAAGAGCAGACUAAAGGGAAUUAGUGUGGCUCUCAUGGGGCCCCACCUGAGGAGCUCCUGGUUUAGAAGAGAAUGAGGAGUUCCUGCAAGUCUUCUGAGGAGAAUACUGCCCACCCCUCAGAUGAGGAAGAAGGUCCCUGUGGAGGUAGAAGUGGCAAGACUUCUGAAUGUCAACAACAUCUUACAGGAGAACUAAAUGAACCAAUCACUGCUCUACUACCUCCGUUCUUACCAUGUGAGAUUAAAAGUAGUAGUAAAGAAUUUAAGUUACAGAAUACAGAAUGUAAUGUAGGUCUGGAAUUGCAGAAACUUGCACUGGAGGACUACUCUUUUUCUUUAAAAUACAAUGUAAUUGGUAUGACUGCAAGAUGCUAA
rnacentral:lncRNA from 1 species